CACUAGAACAUAUGCUGGAGUUUUGUCUCACUGUCUCCUCUCCUCCUCAGGUUUCCAUGGGUAUAGCUGUUUUUGAUCUCAGUUCAUCUGCCUUACUGCAGUGUUUUUCUUGCUGUUGGAGGGGUUCUGCUAUUUCUGCCUCUCCUUUUCACCCUGCAGCCCCAAUUCCUUCUCCUUUUCCCCAGAAAGGUACUGGGGAAUUACAGUAGCAAAAAUAACAGUUUGUAGAGGCUCAAAAUAAUUUAUUCUCCCAAUGGCUUCCUUCUUUUUACUUUUGUUCAUUAUCCUAGAGACCUCCCUUGCUUCCCUUUUUGGCUCUCUCCCUUGCAUCUCCUGUGCUUCCCAUUUCUGCAGGCCCUAGAGCUAGACACGUGCCUGGGCUCAGGCCACCUGCUACAGAUGUUUGAGAUAUAGCCUAGAUAUAAUAAGGUGCUUGUCCACCUCUGCUACUUACAAUAUCACAAACAGAAGGAAAAAAAUUUCUACACUCCAAAUAUAUUUCUACACAUCUACGUUUCUAUAUUCCUCCAGGUGACUUCAUUUGCCACUUUCUGAUUGCUCUGCUAAAGCACAUGUAACCUGCUCAGUUGGUUCUCCUGCUGGAGUAUCUCCAUGCUGCUGCUGGCCAGCCCAUGCAGGCAGUGCCCUCCCUGAUACUCACAACUCAGCUGCUCUUCUUGCCUUAUUUAAGCAGCCAUUCAAUAUAUACUUUGAAUGAUUCUGAGGUCCGUUCAGCAGGAACUGCUGUGGUAGUAAGAAGUGUCAGUUGCACCAGCCUCCUUGUCCUUUCCCCUUCUUGGUUUUCCAGAGGAACAGGGAGAAGCUUUGAGAAAGAUGAAGAAUUAAAUCCCUUUAUCUGUCCUCUGACUUAGUUCAACUCUGACAGGAGCUGUACUUAUCUGUUGGGCUUUAACCAAGAGGAAAGAGCUACUGAAGAGAGAAGGUGGCUCUGUCUGCUGAGAGCGCUGACAAGAAUGCCAACUGGGAUGCAGCUUUCUGAGCCAGUAACUUCAAAGGGAACUGUGCUUUCAUUUCAGUGCAAGUUAGGGAUGCAUAGCCAGAAGUUCUGCAACGGUCUGUGCCUUGGCAGUGCCCUAAGAUAGGUUGUGCCAACUCUUGUCAGCAGCAAAAAGGUUCAAAUGUGUAAGGUGUUCUUUAAGCAAUUAACAGACAUUUCUGGCUCAAAUUCCCUCCCAGAAAUCUGGAAAGGCUAUAUACAUCCCUUGAGGCCCUUAUUAGGGUAGAGCUUUACACUUCCAUGUUCUGAAUCCAUACAGAACACCAAAAAAAAAAAAAACAAAAACAACCAAGUUGCUGUCAGAAAGGAUACAGAAUAGAUGUGUAUAAGCUCGUAAGAUAUUCUUCUUGAAAUUGCCAUCUAAAGAUAGGAGAGGUAGCAUAUGAACAAAGAAAUCUGCACUUGUUUUGUGGGAAAAUGAUGUGGAAUUACUGUUCUUCUUAAAGAAAAGACUACUUAGAUUUAAGACUGUCCAGCCUGAAUGAAAAAGAGGUUGAUGCCAGGCAAUAAAAUAGAUGUCUGUAGUUAAUUUCCUUAUAAU
rnacentral:lncRNA from 1 species